rnacentral:rRNA from 1 species
CGGCGUGCCUUAGGCAUGCGAGUCGAGCGGGUUGUCGCAAGACAAUCAGCGGCAGACGGGUGAGUAACGCGUAGGAAUCUACCCUUUGGCCAAGAAUAGCUCAUCGAAAGGUGGGGUAAUUCUGGAUAAUACCGCAAGGUUAAAGGGCUUAACCGCCCACCAGAGGAGGAGCCUGCGUCCUAUCAGCUUGUUGGUGGGGUAAUGGCCUACCAAGGCAAUGACGGGUAGGGGGCGUGAGAGCGUGAUCCCCCACAAUGGAACUGAGACACGGUCCAUACACCUACGGGUGGCAGCAACCAGGAAUAGUUCGCAAUGGGCGAAAGCCUGACGACGCGACGCCGCGUGCGGGACGAAGGCCUUCGGGUCGUAAACCGCUGUGGUAAGGGAAAAGAAAGGAUGGUACCUUACUAGAAAGUCCCUGCUAACUACGUGCCAGAAGCCUCGGUGAUACGUAGGGGGCAAGCGUUAUCCGGAUUUAUUGGGCGUAAAGAGUUCGUAGGCGGUUUGAUAAGUCACGGGUUAAAACCUUCGGCUCAACCGAAGAACCGCUCGUGAUACUGUUAAACUUGAACCUCAUAGGGGAUGUCGGAACUUGCGGUGUAGCAGUGAAAUGCGUUGAUAUCGCAAGGAACGCCAAGGGCGAAGGCAGACAUCUGGGUGAGUGUUGACGCUGAGGAACGAAAGCUAGGGGAGCGAAAGGGAUUAGAGACCCUG